rnacentral:rRNA from 1 species
GACGAACGCUGGCGGCGUGCCUAAUACAUGCAAGUUGAGCGCUGAAGGUUGGUACUUGUACCAACUGGAUGAGCAGCGAACGGGUGAGUAACGCGUGGGGAAUCUGCCUUUGAGCGGGGGACAACAUUUGGAAACGAAUGCUAAUACCGCAUAAAAACUUUAAACACAAGUUUUAAGUUUGAAAGAUGCAAUUGCAUCACUCAAAGAUGAUCCCGCGUUGUAUUAGCUAGUUGGUGAGGUAAAGGCUCACCAAGGGGAUGAUACAUAGCCGACCUGAGAGGGUGAUCGGCCACAUUGGGACUGAGACACGGCCCAAACUCCUACGGGAGGCAGCAGUAGGGAAUCUUCGGCAAUGGACGAAAGUCUGACCGAGCAACGCCGCGUGAGUGAAGAAGGUUUUCGGAUCGUAAAACUCUGUUGGUAGAGAAGAACGUUGGUGAGAGUGGAAAGCUCAUCAAGUGACGGUAACUACCCAGAAAGGGACGGCUAACUACGUG